UUGAAGUUCAGGUAACACUGAAUGGAGGACCGAACCGACUUACGUUGAAAAGUGAGCGGAUGAACUGAGGGUAGCGGAGAAAUUCCAAUCGAACCUGGAGAUAGCUGGUUCUCUCCGAAAUAGCUUUAGGGCUAGCCUCAAGUGAUGAUUAUUGGAGGUAGAGCACUGUUUGGACGAGGGGCCCCUCUCGGGUUACCGAAUUCAGACAAACUCCGAAUGCCAAUUAAUUUAACUUGGGAGUCAGAACAUGGGUGAUAAGGUCCGUGUUCGAAAGGGAAACAGCCCAGACCACCAGCUAAGGUCCCAAAAUAUAUGUUAAGUGGAAAAGGAUGUGGCGUUGCCCAGACAACUAGGAUGUUGGCUUAGAAGCAGCCAUCAUUUAAAGAGUGCGUAAUAGCUCACUAGUCGAGUGACACUGCGCCGAAAAUGUACCGGGGCUAAACAUAUUACCGAAGCUGUGGAUUGUCCUUUGGACAAUGGUAGGAGAGCGUUCUAAGGGCGUUGAAGCAUGAUCGUAAGGACAUGUGGAGCGCUUAGAAGUGAGAAUGCCGGUGUGAGUAGCGAAAGACGGGUGAGAAUCCCGUCCACCGAUUGACUAAGGUUUCCAGAGGAAGGCUCGUCCGCUCUGGGUUAGUCGGGUCCUAAGCUGAGGCCGACAGGCGUAGGCGAUGGAUAACAGGUUGAUAUUCCUGUACCACCUAUAAUCGUUUUAAUCGAUGGGGGGACGCAGUAGGAUAGGCGAAGCGUGCGAUUGGAUUGCACGUCUAAGCAGUAAGGCUGAGUAUUAGGCAAAUCCGGUACUCGUUAAGGCUGAGCUGUGAUGGGGAGAAGACAUUGUGUCUUCGAGUCGUUGAUUUCACACUGCCGAGAAAAGCCUCUAGAUAGAAAAUAGGUGCCCGUACCGCAAACCGACACAGGUAGUCAAGAUGAGAAUUCUAAGGUGAGCGAGCGAACUCUCGUUAAGGAACUCGGCAAAAUGACCCCGUAACUUCGGGAGAAGGGGUGCUCUUUAGGGUUAACGCCCAGAAGAGCCGCAGUGAAUAGGCCCAAGCGACUGUUUAUCAAAAACACAGGUCUCUGCUAAACCGUAAGGUGAUGUAUAGGGGCUGACGCCUGCCCGGUGCUGGAAGGUUAAGAGGA
rnacentral:rRNA from 1 species